rnacentral:lncRNA from 1 species
UUAGCAGCAACAUCCCAUGAUCCGGUAGAGAAAAAGGACUGUAUACGACAGAGUUCUGACAAUAAUGCAAGCUAGGCGCCCAUGAAAAUCAAUAAGUAUAUAUAUAGCAAUAAAGGGAAGGCAGGCAGGCAUGCCAGGUAAGAACUAGCAGGACCACAGGGACUCUCCCAUGGUGGCCAGGUAAAAGCUAGCAGGACCACAGGGACUCUCCCAUGGUGGCCAGGUAAACCCUAGCAGGACCACAGGGACUCUCCCAUGGUGGCCAGGUAAACCCUAGCAGGACCACAGGGACUCUCCCAUGGUGGCCUGGUCAACUGCCAUGUCCAUGGCUCCUGGAUAAUUGGAAGAAGAAGUGAAUUGCCGCACUCUCAUGUGCACUACCUCUGCCUGUGCGAGUGCCAACUGGGUUUGUA